CGGAUAUUGGGCGUAAGCGCGCGUAGGCGGUUUUUUAAGUCUGAUGUGAAAGCCCACGGCUCAACCGUGGAGGGUCAUUGGAAACUGGAAAACUUGAGUGCAGAAGAGGAAAGUGGAAUUCCAUGUGUAGCGGUGAAAUGCGCAGAGAUAUGGAGGAACACCAGUGGCGAAGGCGACUUUCUGGUCUGUAACUGACGCUGAUGUGCGAAAGCGUGGGGAUCAAACAGGAUUAGAUAC
rnacentral:rRNA from 1 species